UGAAAAAGUAGAUUUGUAUUGAUGAUUGUUCAUUGUUUUACAAGCCUCACGAGGCACCUAUUUAUACUCUGUUAUAACUCGUUUCCUAACCGACUACAAUUUUAUCUCUUAUAUUUACAUACGGAUACAACUCGCAUCGGAGUCGAACACCAAUCAAUCCUCUAUGGGCCAACCCUGUCUUCAUCUUAUUACCGCCUUGGCCCAUUCAGGCCCAUAUCGGCCGAGCUGUUCUGGCUUCCAAUCGGCCAGUCCCCAUCGACCUCAUCGGCUAAUCGGCCGAAACACUGUAGCUUUAUCGAUCGAUUUCCCUAGCCACAGCCUCUUGUUUAACGGCGUCGGCUAUUUUCUUCUCCUCUUAACGCCGAUCCUGACACGUGUCAAAAAUCGGCAUCAACAGAGUGCAUACUCCUUGCCAAGCAGUAUAUACUACUCUUUUCUGACAUGUAGCAUAUGCAUUGAAUUUUACGAAUAGCAGUAUAUACUUCUCAAAUGAAAAUUAGUACCUCACACGACUGGGAAUACCUGCAUCUCGUCUGUCAACAAAUUGACAUUGGGGAUGAAUGCACAAUGAACUGCAUCUCGUCGCCGUCGUGCCCAUCGUCCACCAGGCACCAAAAAGGGCGUCUCAGCCACGUGAAUGGGCGUCACCAGAUGCUGCUGUGGCUGCUCGUUACCGCGUUGAUGAGACCAGUGCCAGCGAGUCAUCGGGGACUUGUUACAUGCACCGGGACAAAUGAGCUUAGUGUGCGGAAUUUUGUCGAGCAAGUUACCUACAUGUAGGCACCUUUUGGAAGCAAGGGGAGUAAAACUCAGAGAUGGAAAAC
rnacentral:lncRNA from 1 species